rnacentral:rRNA from 1 species
CUACGGGAGGCUCCAGUGAGGAAUAUUGCACAAUGGGGGGAACCCUGAUGCAGCAACGCCGCGUGGAGGAUGACGCAUUUCGGUGUGUAAACUCCUUUUAUAUGUCAAGAAAAUGACGGUAGCAUAUGAAUAAGCACCGGCUAACUCCGUGCCAGCAGCCGCGGUAAUACGGAGGGUGCAAGCGUUACUCGGAAUCACUGGGCGUAAAGGACGCGUAGGCGGGUUGGAAAGUCAGGUGUGAAAUCCUACAGCUUAACUGUAGAACUGCACUUGAAACUUCUAAUCUAGAGUAUGGGAGGGGGGGAUGGAAAUAGUGGUGUAGGGGGAAAAUCCGUAGAUAUCACUAGGAAUACCUAAAGCGAAGGCGAUCUCCUGGAACAUUACUGACGCUAAGGCGUGAAAGCGUGGGGAGCAAACAGGAUUAGAUACCCGUGUAGUC